rnacentral:lncRNA from 1 species
GGCAGAACUAGAACCAGGUUCCCGGCCGUUUCCGACCACACGGAUGGGGCGGACCCAUAUCCACACAACUUAAAGAUCUGCUGUCGAGUGAAUGGGGAAGUGGUCCAGAGCAGCAACACCAACCAGAUGGUAUUCAAGACAGAGGACCUGAUAGCCUGGGUGUCCCAGUGAGGUUUGUUACCUUUUACCCAGGGGAUGUCAUCCUGACUGGGACCCCCCCACCUCCACCCAGGUGUCGGUGUAUUCAGGAAACCUCCUGUCUUUCUCAAGGUCUCUGAAGGUCCAGACAGCACUGAUGGCGAGCUUUGGGUCCGCACACUCUGGAAAGAAGAGAGAAGUGAAGGCUCUAGGUAGGGAGAACAGAGAGCCACUGGGCACAGGCUUCUCUCCUCUUGUUUAAAGAAGCCCAGGGAGGGAUAGAGCUCUGACUGGACAGAAGACUGUACUCUGCAGCCUGCCUUCCUAGAGUUGGGUUGUCACUGUCCUGCAGGGGGCAGCAGCCACCAGCAAACACCACUGCCUGCAGGAGCCUGGGCUGACUGGUUGGGACUCACCGAAGAUCCCUUCUUCCUGGGCGGUGGCCUGCAGGAACUGGAACAGCUGCUCUGUGUAGCCCAACUCUGCAGAAGAGAGAAGACCUAGACCUGGCACCCAGCACAGACACAGCCUGCCUCGAGGACUGCAAGGGAACAAGGGCCUCACCAGUAUCGGGCAGCUGGCCCUGGCGGAGGAAGGCGGCAGCCUGUGCAAAGGCCUUGAGCAGCGGGCUGAGCAGGCGGCAGAGGAAAAGAAAGAAAUCUGGGCAGUGUGACUGCUGGCUGAGCUGGAGGGGACAGGCCGGGGUGAGUGCAGCUCCCCACCGCCUCCCUACCACCUCCCUCCAGGGGCAGCUUUUUGAAACACACCCUGAAGUACCGGCCGUCAGCCUCUCCGAAGUCAUCACUGUCACUAUCAGUAAAGUCCCCACUCGGUUUCCACA